GUGCCAGCCGCCGCGGUAAUACCGGCAGCCCAAGUGAUGGCCGCUGUUAUUGGGCCUAAAGCGUCCGUAGCUGGCCGCACAAGUCCGUCGGGAAAUCCGCCCGCUCAACGGGCGGCCGUCCGGCGGAACCUGUGUGGCUUGGGACCGGGAGGCCUGAGGGGUACGAUCGGGGUAGGAGUGAAAUCCCGUAAUCCUGGACGGACCACCGGUGGCAAAAGCGCCUCGAGAGGACGGACCCGACGGUGAGGAACGAAAGCCGGGGUCUCGAACCGGAUUAGAUACCCGAGUAGUCC
rnacentral:rRNA from 1 species